CAGUUGCAUCAGGAGAGACCAAUUGGUCCGGCAACCGGGGCGAGCCCACGGUGCCACUCACCUUCGGGUGGGGAUGUGGCUUUACCUUUUUGGUAAAGCAACGGCCGAGCCAGUU
rnacentral:ncRNA from 1 species